rfam:Clostridiales bacterium 1_7_47_FAA supercont2.17 genomic scaffold, whole genome shotgun sequence.
UAGAGCCGUAUACGAGACCCGUACGUACGGUUCAAUGAGAGGGAAAUAACACUCGCUGUUAUUUCUCUACUCUAU